rnacentral:misc_RNA from 1 species
AAAAUAUAAAUAUCCAGUGGAUGAAUAAAAAGGCUUCCUGAAGCCUUUCAUUUGUCUAUCAUUAUAGAUAAUAAUACUAUCCAUAUUUUCUAUGGAAUUCGCUAUUUAUGAUUCCUGAUUUUUAUCUCAUGGGCCCUUCUUUUUUUAUUUUAUUUCAGCAUAUCGAUUUACGCCUAGUUAUUAUUAUUUUCUUUUUUUCAUAGAUGAAUUCUGCAGAUUUUCACAUCUCGGAUUUACAUAUACAACAUAUAUCACUGUCAAGAUAAAAUUUCUUAUUAUUUAGAUAUUUUGAUUCAAAAAAGUUAAGGAUUAGAAACUUGAAAAACAAGGAUUGGGUUGCG